rnacentral:lncRNA from 1 species
AAGGAGCUACAGGCAGAAGGUGGAGGAUAUGUUCUCACAGGGUUUUGCAUGACCUAGCAGCAUGAUCAUGGCUACCCAGGAGGCAAAUGUGACGGAAUAGGGGAAACAGUGUUGCUUCAGCCUGGUGAGAACUCCAGAAAGUACAGCUGUUCCUUGGUACCCUGCAGGUUGCUGAUGUGGCCACUAGAAAAAGGUGACCCCUCCAUUCCUUGGCAUGGACAUUUAGACUCUCAAGAAUACCACUGAAGCCAUGCAGAGGUGAGGUGAGUGCACAGCCACCCUCAGAUGGCAUCUUGAUCCCCAGCUAUGAAACCCUUAUCAGGAGAGCAUAAAAGAACUGUUCCUGAGGUCACACGAGAUCCCACUAGAGAGUAUCCAACACUGGGUGAGACUUUGAUGGAGCUGGAGCUUCUGGGCCAUGCAUUGGUGGUAAGGGGUGGGGGGUGUGCAGGGGUGGGGGCUCUGAUAUUUUGGCUAUUCCCAUUAAUAUAAUCCUGUUAGACUGGGGAAGCUUGAGUUACAGGUGAAAUAGAAAUUCAUCCUUACUGUAGGGUUUAGCACACCGAAAACUUCACCUCUCUCUGCUGACUCUGGCAUAUACACCAAAGAGAGAAAAAUUGGAUUUAAAAGCAAAGAGAGAUAGACCAUCCUUACUCCUCAGCUUUCUCUUUCACUCUCUCUCUCUCUCACACACACACAUACACACAGUAUGUAUGCACACUCAUACGCACAGGUCUGCAUGGCACACUGCAGUAAGUAAUUCCCAAGUGCUUCCUGGCUGACAAUGAAAGCCUACUUGCCCGAACAGCAAUCAAAUCCACAGCCUGCCCUGAUAAUUACCCCGUCAACUUUAGCCCCAGUAAAAUAAAUGAGCCAUUCAAAGAUUUCUGGAAACUUCAGUCCCAGCAACGCCUCCUCAGAUACAGUGGUUUGGCAGUUUGGGGUCUCCUUGUGCUCUCACAGAAAGGAUAUCAAAUUUCUGACCACUCUCCUUGUGGUUGAACUAUUUCUCCUCCUUUGAAGAUCAUAAUUUCUGAAACAUUGGCGUCUCCCUUUUCUUUCCUACUUGUUUAUCCUCUUGUAACUUGAAGGCUCUGAAGGCCAAGUCAUAGAAAUUGUUAAUUGCACUCUUGGAUUUUGUUAAACAAAAGAACUGGUGAUGACUCUCACUGGGGCUGCCAGAAAAUACUGCUUAUUUGGCUGGGCAUGGCUGGAGCCCACACUAAAUGUCAGCUCCUCUAUGGAGCUAUCUCCUUCUCACGAUGUCAGCUUAACUCUCAUUACUUUUAAGCUACUGAGUAUCUGGGCAUUUCAUUCUUCAGAAAGUUUUUCCAGAAAAUUAACUUGUGGGGGAAAUCAUGUGCUGUAUUAAUUCACCCCAGACACUAUCCGUUUCAAAGUGAAAUCUCCAGGCUUUAGUCAAUACUGGCUCUUUGUAAGUGUUUCACAUCUCCCAGGGCAUCAAGAGAUCAGACGCAGUGAGACAAGGAUGUAAAAUUCUUGUCAGUGUUUCAGUGCCCACUAUUUCUUGUCUCCUGUGGCUUUGUGCCACUGGAUCAUGUAAUACAAGCCUUGUCUUGCCUGCUAUCUUUCCUCACUGAAUUUCCUAUACCAGGUAUCAGGAAAGUCAGAGAACACAAAUAUUUUCUAAUGCCAGCAUCUGCUUAGAGCCCUGUUCACAAGACCUGUCAGAGAACCCAAAGCAAAAAAAAUCUCCUUCCUGUCAUCUGCCUUUCAGUCAUUUGGUGAGGAGUCCUUAAUGCUGGAAAAGUAACUCAAUGAAAUGGAGCCAGAGGGAGAGAGCAAGUGAGCCACGUUCACUGUAGAGUUCACAAACUUCAGGUAUGAACCUGAAGACCCCAGAGUUGUCGUAAGCAGCAAAGACCCCCUGCAGAUGCAACCUACACCAUCUCCCAACCAUGUGACUGGUAGGACAUGUGUGUGUUCCAGGUCCCUUUAUGUCAGGUCAGACUGCUUUAGUCCUGCCAUGGAAAUAAAUCCCUAAACUAGGAUCAGGUGUCUCCUGUCAAAACCAAAAUACAAAGUUAGUAACAAUGGCUCCUUUGGUGUUCUGGAAAGGAAAGGCUGUUGGCACAGCUCACCCAUCUCCUUUUGUGAGGGACAUUGCUCCAUCUUCCCUGUUUCCCCUUCUUUCCUCCCCUUGUACUGCAUGAUAAACAAACCAAGUGGUAUCUUCCAUUUCACCUUGAAUGAGCUCUCUUAUCCCCAUGUAUUGAUAUCACUGACAUUUGAUUCUGAGGUACUGCAAUAGGUGAUAAACAGCCAUACCUUUUAUAGAGGAUCUAAAAAGAAAGGACAGUAAGAAUAAGUAGGCUCAUUGUUGAUAAGGUCUGCAGGUGCCUCCUGGCAAGGUGGCCUGUUCACCAGGAUACUUUGCUUCCCUUACAAAUGGACUUGCCAAUCUGGCAUGGCACAGUGACAGAGGUGGGGGAGGUGGGGUAGGUGGGGUUUUCAUGUUUGAGAGACUUUAAUUUAAAAUUGGCUAACAUGGUGUUCCUCAAUUGAAAAGUUUUCUGGCCUGGUAUCAAUAGCAGUAAAGUUAAGUAAUGAGCUGGGUUCUCUUUCUAUGUUUAUCUUUAUAAUCAAUCUUAAUUAUAUUUUGUUUAUUCAUGAUCUCAUGUAACCAAGGGGUAAGAUAUACAAAUCCUUUGCUUUCAGCCCAAUAAUGGAAAUAGUUCUCAAAUAAUGAAUAUUUAUAAUUACGACUUUCCUGGCCCCAUUUUGUAGAAACUAGUCUAGAUCAUUUCCUGUAGCAGAAAGCUUAACCUCAUAAGUAAAGAAGUGAGCCCUGAGCCCCAAAUAUGCCAUGAUUUCUACCAUUAAACUGUUUGGCUGGAAGGCCUUGUAGAGUCAUAGGAAGGACCUGGACUUCAGAGUUAGAUCUGCUGGAUUUGAAUCCCAGCUCUACGACUCACUGACUUUGUGAGUUUGGGCAUGCUGUUUGACCUCUGUAAAAGCCAGUUUCCCUAUCCAUAAAAUGGGGGCAGUGAUACCUAUCUUGUGAGAAUUUAAUUAUCUAGUUUAUGUUAAAUUCCAGACAUUCUCUCAUCAACUAUUGCACUUCUUGUACCUCAAUUCUAUUCUAUACUUUUCUGUGUUCUAUAUUUUAAUUUGUUUUGUCAAUGAACAUUGAACAGGUAGGACACUAUAUGCUUAGAAACAUUUUCCAUAUAACCCCUUAAGUUAAAAGAGAAGAGGCUUGAAGAUACCUAACCCUUCCUAAUUUUAAUAGGUUCCUAAACAUAAUAAUUCUGUUCCCUUCCAUUUGCUGUCAGUUGACUCUUGAAUCUAUAUGCCCAAACCAGACCUCUCCUCUAAAUGCCAGACUCAGUAUAUCCAAUGAUCUCUUUAACAUCUCAAUUGGAUGUAUAAUUGGCACCUCACACUUAAAUAUUCAAAAAGAAACUUCUGCUCUUCCUUUUUAGACCACAGUCCUCCCCAUCUCAACUAAUAGCAACUUCAUCCCUCUGCUGCUCAGGCCUAAAACAUUAGAUUUCUUCUGAAUGCCUCUCUUUCUCUCAUACCCUACAUGUAAUCCACCAACAAGUCCUGUUGGCUCAACUUUCAGCAGAAUCUAAAGCCAUCUCACACCUUCACUGCCAUCCUAAUUUAAGCCACCAUUAUUCUGUCACUCAAUAAUUCUGUCACUGAAUAAUUCUGUCCUAACAGAUCUUUCUGCUUCCAUACUCUGUUCCCAAUCUCUUCCCAACACCACACUCAAAGAAAUCCCUUUAAAGCUUAAUCAUAUCAUGGCCUUCUAAAUGGCUUUCCAUCUUACUCAAGUGAAAGCCAAAGUCAUUACAUACAGCUUUCAAUGUCCUAUUUGAUCUGCACCCUCUGACAUACCCCCCAGUAUGGCUCAUUCUGCUCUAGCUGAUGCUGGGUUUCUAGCCACUUUCUCCAAACUCACCAAGUAUAUUCCUAACUCAGGCUCUUGUACAUACUGUUCCAUCUACCUGAAACAUCUUCCUCAGAUAUGUGCAUGCCUCAGUUUCUCACUUUAUUUCAGAUCUUUACUCAAAUACUCCAUUUCCAAUCAGAACUUCCCUGUCCACUCUAUUUAUAAUUAUACCCUAUUCACCAUCUCUGGAGUCCAUUUCAUAUCUCUUGCUUGCUUCCUUUAUUUUUUUCCCAUAGCCCUCAUCACUAUGUGAAGAUUAUGUGUUUGACUUGUUUGCUUUGUUAUUAGUCUCCUCUCAUUAGAAUGUUAGCUCUACGAGGACAAGGGUAUUUUUUUUUCUAUGCCCCCAUCACAUAUUAGGUGUUCAGUAAACAUUUUUAACAAAUUGAACUGGUGAAUGAAAUCCUCAGGGUUUCUUCCUGGUUCACUCCAUACAUAUUUUACUUGUUCCUUUAUACUUCCCCCCCAGACUUUUUCUUCUAGCCAAAUUAGAAUAACAGAGAACUAAUUUAUACUUACAUCUUAUAAUUAUGGUCACCAAAGAUAUCAAGUUAUAAUCCCUGAACUUGUAAAUGAGAAUUUAUUUGGGAAAGAGGUAUUUGUAGAUGUAAUUAAGUUGAGGAUUUUGAGAUGAAGAGAUUACCCUGGAUUAUCUGGGUAGACCCUUAAUGGAAUUAUAAGUGUCCUUCCAGGAUAGAGGCAAAGGGAGAUAACACAAACACUCAGAGGAAAAGAUGAUGUGAAAACAGAGGCAGAGAUUAAAGUGCAGUGACCUCAAGUCCAAGAGUGCCGAAAAAGCCACCAGAAGCUGGAAGAGUUACAGCAGCCUCUGAGGUGGUGGAGGGUGGCAGCAGGACAGUGAGCUGACGGCCAACCCCUGUGCCCAAGUGUGCUGCUCCGCUCAACUCCAUGUGCACCAGGGAACAGCCAUUCUCUGCAGGCUGAUUUGAUCUGGAACCACAAUUGAGUCUAGUUCUGGAAUCUCAGACACAUGGAGAACUACACCUUGUCUCCAGUUGCUACAAGUCAAGUCCACCUGCAUGCAGACAGCUACAAUUGUCUUGUAAAAUUAGAAAACAGAACAGGGACAACAGUAUUAUCUAUAUUGACUAUAGAUUAAUUAUUCAUUUGCAUUCUUUGUCUUUUGUACUUAUAAAUAUGAAAUUUGUAUAUAAACGUGUGUUUUACAACAUAAGAUACAGAUCUAUAUAUAUGUACCUUUGAAAGAUUAUUCUCUCUGCUCUUUGGCCUAAAUUUCCAAAUGGAAUCAUCCUGUGUACAGUAACCUGUGUCUGAAAAUUUCUGUCCACUUAGAGUAAUGAAGGCAUGGGGUCAUAAUGAGAGCAACAAAAAAGUUACACUUUAUACUGUGAAAGACCGUCACCUUAUUGUUCAUUUACUUAAGUUUUUCAUUUUGUUUUUAUAUUUUGAAAUGUUGAAUAAAAAACUCAAGGCA